CCUAUUUGUAGGGAAGAUUACUAUCACCCAAUAUGAAGAGUAAAAUAGUUAUCUUCGUAUUAAAGGGAAAAUAAUUGUCUCCAUUAUAUGAGGGACGAUAGUUUGGACUAGGAAAUGUGAUCAUCCCCUUGGACAAACCAAAAUUAUGUCAUGCAUGCAUAUGGAUCCCGAUUUGUUCAGGGCUGCAGCAGAUGGCAAUAUUAGUCCCUUCUAUGGCGAUAUUAGUCCCUUCUAUGGCGAUGUCCAACCCCUUGAUCUUCUACUUACUCCAAACAAAAACACAGUUAUUUACAUCACUGCACGAGCAAAUGGAGCAAAAUCAGUCGAAUUCAUGCAUAAAAUCCUACAAAAAUGUCGGUCACUCUUAGAUCAGGCUAAUAUAAGAGAUGAAACUCCACUGCACUUUGCAGCAAGAUACGGGCAUGACGACAUAGCGGAAGCACUAAUUGAACACGCAGAAGCCCAGCAUGAUGACGUUGAACGCGGAGCAGCUGCAGUAAGGGAGAUGAUGAGAAAGAUGAAUACAGAGAAAGACACUGCCUUACACGAAGCGGCGAGAUAUAAUCAUCUUAACGUGGUUCGAAGAUUACUGGCUAAGGAAGAUGUUAAUUAUUGUUAUUUAGCUAAUGAAGCUGGUGAAAGUCCACUUUACCUAGCCGCUGAGAGAGGCUAUGGUGAUAUUCUGUCUGAAAUUUUGGAAACCUGCACUUCGCCAGAAUACAAUGGCCCUAAUGGUAGAACAGCUUUGCAUGAAGCAGCAAUCAGCAAUGAUGCAGAAAUGACGAGAAGAAUAUUGAGCAAAACCAAUACUGAUCUCACCAAAAAAAUUGAUCAACAAGGAAGGACUCCACUGCACCAUGCUUCACACUUUGGUCACUUGUCAAUCGUGAAGCUGCUACUAGAUGCUGAUAAAUCUGCAGCUUACAUUGGCGAUGAAGAUGGAAGAAAGACCCCUCUUCACAUUGCUGCUAGCCAGGGCGAUGGCCAUGUGAAUGUUAUUAAAAGUAUUGCAUCUCAUUGUCCAGAUUGCUGCGAACUUGUCUAUGACAGAGGCCGGAAUGUUCUGCAUUUUGCUGAGGAAAGCCAUGGUUUUGAAGCAUUGCGUGCUCUUCUUCAAAAUCCAUUCAU
rnacentral:misc_RNA from 1 species